rnacentral:rRNA from 1 species
GAUGAACGCUGGCGGCGUGCCUAAUACAUGCAAGUCGAGCGAACGGACGAGAAGCUUGCUUCUCUGAUGUUAGCGGCGGACGGGUGAGUAACACGUGGAUAACCUACCUAUAAGACUGGGAUAACUUCGUGAAACCGGAGCUACUACCGGAUAAUAUUUUGAACCGCAUGGUUCAAAAGUGAAAGACGGUCUUGCUGUCACUUAUAGAUGGAUCCGCGCUGCAUUAGCUAGUUGGUAAGGUAACGGCUUACCAAGGCAACGAUGCAUAGCCGACCUGAGAGGGUGAUCGGCCAAACUGGAACUGAGACACGGUCCAGACUCCUACGGGAGGCAGCAGUAGGGAAUCUUCCGCAAUGGGCGAAAGCCUGACGGAGCAACGCCGCGUGAGUGAUGAAGGUCUUCGGAUCGUAAAACUCUGUUAUUAGGGAAGAACAUAUGUGUAAGUAACUGUGCACAUCUUGACGGUACCUAAUCAGAAAGCCACGGCUAACUACGUG